AUUGAACGCUGGCGGCAGGCCUAACACAUGCAAGUCGAGCGGAUGAGGAGUGCUUGCACUCCGAUUCAGCGGCGGACGGGUGAGUAAUGCCUAGGAAUCUGCCCGAUAGUGGGGGACAACGUUUCGAAAGGAACGCUAAUACCGCAUACGUCCUACGGGAGAAAGUGGGGGCUCUUCGGACCUCACGCUAUCGGAUGAGCCUAGGUCGGAUUAGCUAGUUGGUGGGGUAAAGGCCCACCAAGGCGACGAUCCGUAACUGGUCUGAGAGGAUGAUCAGUCACACUGGAACUGAGACACGGUCCAGACUCCUACGGGAGGCAGCAGUGGGGAAUAUUGGACAAUGGGCGAAAGCCUGAUCCAGCCAUGCCGCGUGUGUGAAGAAGGUCUUCGGAUUGUAAAGCACUUUAAGUUGGGAGGAAGGGCUGUAAGCUAAUACCUUGCAGUUUUGACGUUACCGACAGAAUAAGCACCGGCUAACUUCGUGCCAGCCGCCGCAGUAA
rnacentral:rRNA from 1 species